CAGGGGGGCAAGCGUUGUUCGGAAUUACUGGGCGUAAAGGGUUCGUAGGUGGCCGCUUAAGUCAGACGUGAAAUCCCUCAGCUUAACUGGGGAACUGCGUCUGAUACUGGGAGGCUUGAGUGCAGGAGAGGAACGCGGAAUUCCAGGUGUAGCGGUGAAAUGCGAAGAUAUCUGGAGGAACACCGGUGGCGAAGGCGGCGUUCUGGACUGUAACUGACACUGAGGAACGAAAGCCAGGGGAGCAAACGGGAUUAGAUACCCCGGUAGUCCUGGCCCUAAACGAUGAAUGCUUGGUGUGGCGGGUAUCGAUCCCUGCUGUGCCGAAGUUAACGCGAUAAGCAUUCCGCCUGGGGAGUACGGUCGCAAGGCUG
rnacentral:rRNA from 1 species